rnacentral:lncRNA from 1 species
AGAAAUGAUUUCUGUUGAUUCUUGAAAUAAAAUUUUUUCCAAAGGACAAGAAGCUCCCAUCCCAGUAAGGCAAUGCAAGAACCUGAAGCAAAAUGCACCUGAGGCUUACAGUGGGGUUCUGACAACAAAGGAGAUUGUGACAUAUUGCUGGGCCUAACACUAAGGUGAUGUUAGUUAUUUGCUUUGGCUGUGCCCUUGGAAGGCAUUGAGACAUACUGCUGUGCCCAGCACCAAGAUGAUGUAACGUGACUCUUCUGCUUCAGGCCUGCCAAAAGAAAAGAUUGUGACAGAUCACUGGACCCAGCACCUAGGUAGGAUUGUGACAUAUAUCUGGCCAAGCGUACAGAUGUAAUGAUGACUGUCAUACCUUGAAGAAGCCAAUAGCAGAGAGAAUGUUGCUCUCAGGCUUAGGAAAAUGAGGAAGUCUUUCUGUACAAAAGUCAUAAAGAAUUACUACUCUCUCACAUAUAUUACGCCCUAGUGUGUUACAGAGAAUGUCAUAACAGGGCCCAGCACACAAGUGAGAUUGUGUUUGUCCUAUGCACACUACACCAACCUUUACAGUUGUCACCCUGACCCAUUGACAGAGUCUGCUAGUGAGGUUCUGAAUUACAUGUGAACACAGUCCGCAGUUGGAAUUGUGACUGUCAUAUGUGAACAUCUGGCUACAGUUGGGAUGGUGACUCAUUUCUAAAUCCAGCUCAUAGGAAGGUGAAGACUCUCCUAUCUGGACUCAGUUGGUGAGAGAGAUGUUGACUCUCAUAUCUGGGCUUAGAACCACAGGAAAGAUUCUGGAGCUCCUUGUGCAAAGGUCAUAGAGGAUUAUCAAUCUUGCAUAUUGUAUAAAGUCCUCAGGUGACACAGAGUGUCUCUCGAAUGCACACCCAGGCAACAGUAAAGAUUGUCAUUCUCCCACAUAAACACAUCCCACUGUUGAAGUUCUGAAUUUCACAGAGGCUGUCAAAAGUUGGAUAAUUGCCUCUCAUGUGUGGAUCUGGUCCACAGGUGGGUUAGUGACUUCCAGACCAAGGUUCAGCGCACAUGUAAGGCUGUGACUACACUAAGAAGAUACAGUCUGCAGAAGAAACUGUGGCUCUUUUGCACACAUUCUGUCAAUCAUUGUGAUUGCGACUCAUGUACUUAGACCCAACAUACAGGAGGUGUUGACUUUCAUACCUUUAGAACCUGGACAUGUUUGGAAUUUCUAAUCUAAUCCCUGGACUUUCCUGCAGGUGUGAUUGUGUGCAUUGCAAAGCACCUUAGUGAUUUGACUCUCCUGCCUUGGCCAAGCACACAAAUGAGAUUGUGACAUAUGGCUUGACUCUGAACCUCCAAGAUGUGACUCUUUUUUCCAGCCUUGGAGCUGCCCACAUGUUGCAUUGUGACAUAUUCCUAAGCCCUGCACUCAGGUUAUGUGACUCUCCUUUUUUGCUUAGGCCCUGAAUAUUUUUCAUGUUAAGACAUAUUACUAGGUCCAACACCUAUAAAAUGGGAGACUACCACCUGGGCUCUUUCUACAGAGGGCCUUGUGACAUACCUCUGCAUCAAUAACCUAGGAGAUGUGAUGCUCCAUUUUUGCCUGUACGUGCCCCACAGAAAAAAUUGUGGCUGGCCCAGGUACCAGGUGAUGUGUCUCUGCUGCCUGGGCCUGGACCACAGAGAGCAUUGUUACUGAUUGCUGGGCUCAGCACCCAGGUGAUGUGACUCUGCUGCCUGUGUGCUGCUUUCAGGAGAAGGUUGUAACUUAUUCCUGGCUGAGUAUGCAGUCACACUCCUGACUGAUCUCUGCCCUCAGAAAAGGUUGUGUCAAGCCGGGCCCGGUGGCUCAUGCCAGUAAUCCCCAGCACUUAGGGAGACCGAGGUGGGUGGAUCGCCUGAGGAGUUUGAGACCAGAUGGCCAACAUGGUGAAACCCCGUCUCUACUAAAAAUACAAAAAUUAAUCGGGUGUGGUGGCGGGCACCUGUAAACUCAGCUAUUCGGGAGCCUGAGGCAGGAGAAUUGCUUGAACCCGGGAGGUGGAGGUUGCAGUGAGCCAAGAUCAUGCCACUGCACUCCAGCCUGGGCAGCAGAGCAAGAUUCCAUCUUGGGAAAAAAAUUACAAAAAUUAGCCAGGCGUGGUGGUAUGCACCUGUAGUCCCAGCUACUUGAGAGGCUGAGGCACAGCAGUCACUUGAACUUAGGAGGCGGAGGUUGCAGUGAGCCAAGACUGUGCCAUUGCACUCCAGCCUGGGCAACAAGAGCAAAACUCCAUCUCAAAAAAAAAAAAAAAAAAAAAAAGGUUGUGUCAUAUUCCUGGCUAAAAACCCAGAUGAUGUGACUCUCCUCUCUCCCUAUUCAUAGGCAGGAUUGUAAAAUAUAUCUUUUUUUUUUUGAGACAGUUUCAUUUUGUCACCCAGGCUGGAGUGCAGUGGCAUGAUCUUGGCUCACUGCAACCUCCGCUUCCUGGGUUCAAGCAAUUCUCUUGCCUCAGCCUCCUUAGUAGCUAGCCACCACACCUGGCUAAUUUUUGUAUUUCUAUUAGAGAUAGGGUUUCCCAAUGUUGGUGAGGCUGAUCUCAAACUCUUGACCUCAGGUGAUGCACCUGCCUCAGCCUCCCAAAGUGCUGGGAUUACAGGUGUGAGUGACUGCGCCUGGCCUGUAAAAUAUAUCUUGACCUAGAUCACAGAUGCAAUGAUUACUCUCAUACCUCACAGUAUUUAAUAGGAGAGAUGCUCUCUCUUGCUCUCGCUCUCUUUUUUCUUUUUUUUUUUUUUUGAGACAGUUUUGUUCUUGUUACCCAGGCUGCAGUGCAAUGGCGUGAUCUCUGCCCACCACAACCUCUGCCUC